CAUGAUUUACAUUUGAGUGAGUGGCGAACUGGUGAGUAACACGUGGGAAACCUGCCCAGAAGCGGGGGAUAACACCUGGAAACAGAUGCUAAUACCGCAUAACAACUUGGACCGCAUGGUCCGAGUUUGAAAGAUGGCUUCGGCUAUCACUUUUGGAUGGUCCCGCGGCGUAUUAGCUAGAUGGUGGGGUAACGGCUCACCAUGGCAAUGAUACGUAGCCGACCUGAGAGGGUAAUCGGCCACAUUGGGACUGAGACACGGCCCAAACUCCUACGGGAGGCAGCAGUAGGGAAUCUUCCACAAUGGACGAAAGUCUGAUGGAGCAACGCCGCGUGAGUGAAGAAGGGUUUCGGCUCGUAAAACUCUGUUGUUAAAGAAGAACAUAUCUGAGAGUAACUGUUCAGGUAUUGACGGUAUUUAACCAGAAAGCCACGGCUAACUACGUGCCAGCAGCCGCGGUAAUACGUAGGUGGCAAGCGUUGUCCGGAUUUAUUGGGCGUAAAGCGAGCGCAGGCGGUUUUUUAAGUCUGAUGUGAAAGCCUUCGGCUCAACCGAAGAAGUGCAUCGGAAACUGGGAAACUUGAGUGCAGAAGAGGACAGUGGAACUCCAUGUGUAGCGGUGAAAUGCGUAGAUAUAUGGAAGAACACCAGUGGCGAGGCGGGCUGUCUGGUCUGUAACUGACGCUGAGGCUCGAAAGUAUGGGUAGCAAACAGGAUUAGAUACCCUGGUAGUCCAUACCGUAAACGAUGAAUGCUAAGUGUUGGAGGGUUUCCGCCCUUCAGUGCUGCAGCUAACGCAUUAAGCAUUCCGCCUGGGGAGUACGGCCGCAAGGCUGAAACUCAAAGGAAUUGACGGGGGCCCGCACAAGCGGUGGAGCAUGUGGUUUAAUUCGAAGCUACGCGAAGAACCUUACCAGGUCUUGACAUACUAUGCAAAUCUAAGAGAUUAGACGUUCCCUUCGGGGACAUGGAUACAGGUGGUGCAUGGUUGUCGUCAGCUCGUGUCGUGAGAUGUUGGGUUAAGUCCCGCAACGAGCGCAACCCUUAUUAUCAGUUGCCAGCAUUAAGUUGGGCACUCUGGUGAGACUGCCGGUGACAAACCGGAGGAAGGUGGGGAUGACGUCAAAUCAUCAUGCCCCUUAUGACCUGGGCUACACACGUGCUACAAUGGAUGGUACAACGAGUUGCGAACUCGCGAGAGUAAGCUAAUCUCUUAAAGCCAUUCUCAGUUCGGAUUGUAGGCUGCAACUCGCCUACAUGAAGUCGGAAUCGCUAGUAAUCGCGGAUCAGCAUGCCGCGGUGAAUACGUUCCCGGGCCUUGUACACACCGCCCGUCACACCAUGAGAGUUUGUAA
rnacentral:rRNA from 2 species